rnacentral:lncRNA from 13 species
AUGUUUUUUUCAGGGAACUUUAGUUCACAGUGUUUACAAAGUCUGCAGUGGUGUACAGUAACAUCUCAGGCCUUCAGAUUCACUCAACACUUACUCACCGACUCACCCAGAGCAACUUCCAGUCCUCAGGCUCCACGCAUGAUAAUGUCAGAAUUGAAUUGGAGGACCCUGAGCGGCUGUCUGCUGCAGAUUGAUUGCUUCUUUGUUGGUAAGUAGCAACCCCACGCCUUUGGUCACACAAGUCUUCUGUGUUGAUCUGCUGUUGUGCGUAGAAUAGGAAAAAGUACUUUGUGUGCUUUUCCACAACAGUCUAUGGAGAUGAUCAUGUUUGGGUGUAUGGGUGUGCCAUUCAUUUUUUAAAUGAAGUCCCCAUUUUUGGUCUUUUUUUCUGUAUUUUUUUGGGGUAGUUUCAUUUCUAUUUCAUCAACUUCACUAGUCUUGUCUUAUGCAGUCUAAACUGUUAAUUCUGUCUUAUGUAUUUGUCACCUCAGAUACUAUAUUGCUGUAUUAUUGUACCUCUACUCAUGUUAGUUUCUCUGUUGCUAUCAUAACAAAGCAGGACCGUGCCCCUUUUUGGAGGCUCUGAGGAUAAAUGCACUUGCAAUUCAUUCAGGAUGUUGACAGAAUUUUAGUUCCAUGAAACUUCAGAAGUUUCUGUUUCCUUGCUGGCUGUUGGCCAGGGUCAUUCUCAGCUUCCAGAGGCCACCCGAUUCUCUGUCUUCCUGAUCCCUUCCUCCAUCUCUAAAGCCAACAAUGGCUCCAGUUCCCUUCUAUGCUUUGACUCUGUAACACCUGCUGUGACUCAUUUUUUUUUUUUUUCUACGUUUAGCCUAAGAAAGUUCUUGUAGGGACUUCCUUUCCUGGCCUCAGGUAGUUUCCCUAGGUGCUUCUGGGGGCCAGUACUCCGCUGAAGACUAGAGCGGGAUGCUUGGCUCAUCAAUCACAAGGGUUUCUGUCUGUCUCCAUUUUUCCUCCCUGGUUCUUUCCCCCAUAAAACUCUCACCACUCUGGCUUCCCCAGGCUCCCAGCAAUGUUUCUUUAACUUAAGGUCGUUUUGCUUUAAGGUAGUUGUUUCAAGUAAAAGAAGUAUCCAGCAUGAAUAAUUUAUAUUAACUUCAAAUCAAGAUAUUAAAAGUUUACAUUCUUAUGGAGAAUUUGGUGAUAUCAAAGAAUAGAUCUUUGAACAUCAGUUUGAGGAAGCAAUGAUCUAUAUGAA